CCUGCGUCACGUGUUGGAUCAAUUCUGCCGUGGGAAUAGCAUUCUCCGUGGUUUCUGCGCGUUGUUUCGAUUGUUGUUUCGUUUGUGAAGUCUUCUGUGAUAGUUUUGUACUGUUCAGUGACCAAGCGCAAAACUUAGGCGACUGAAAAGGGCGAUAACGCCCACUUGUACCUGGUUAACGCGAAGAUGCGGAACAAAUGGCUCGUCAGACUCGAAAUGGGAAAAGCAAAUUCCUGUUACAAGCGUGUGCAGCAUGCACUUUGCAGAAGAUGACUUCAUUUAUGCAGUUGGUGACGCCUUGUUCGGGCAGAAGAGCAGAAAACUUGGUUGGGGAACGGUAUCAAGCAGAAAUCUGCCACUCCGACAGCAUGAAAACUACGUGGUGGUAACGUCGGAUAGUGCGAACAGUCUAGAAAAGAAGCAGGGAAGUUGGACUGCAUGUCCAUGCUGUUAAUCAGCCACCAGGAAGGCGACAACGGCUGAUCUCGAUAUCCAGAAUCCGGACCCCAUAAUCCAGGCCCUCAUCUCCGAAGAAAAAGAAGCGGUUUGUUACAAUGAGGCACUGGAGAACCAGUCGAUAGGCAGUGCUCGACUCCACAUUCAGUGUGCUAUCCAGCGAAUGAAGCGUUUUAAGAUUUUGCUGCAGGGAUUCCGCUGUGACCUCUUGCCUUAUAUUAAUGACAUUGUCGCAAUUGCUGCUGUGUUGGCAAACAUCAGUAAACCCACCUCUUCUGAGAACAAGUUUUUAUUCACGUGAACAAUGGAGCAUCCGACUUUUUAUUUGAAAGCUUGCUUGUAUAUGCUCGGGAUGUGUGCAGAUGCAGCCUUUGUCCUGGGCUAACAUUUAUAAUAAUAAUAAAAAACGAGUGUCACGAGUGUG